rnacentral:tRNA from 1 species
GAGGGUACAGCUUAGUGGUAGAGCAUGUGCUUAGCAUGCACAAUGUCCUGGGUUCAACCCCAGUACCUCCA